GAUGAACGCUGGCGGCGUGCCUAAUACAUGCAAGUCGAGCGAACAGACGAGGAGCUUGCUCCUCUGACGUUAGCGGCGGACGGGUGAGUAACACGUGGAUAACCUACCUAUAAGACUGGGAUAACUUCGGGAAACCGGAGCUAAUACCGGAUAAUAUAUUGAACCGCAUGGUUCAAUAGUGAAAGACGGUUUUGCUGUCACUUAUAGAUGGAUCCGCGCCGCAUUAGCGAGUUGGUAAGGUAACGGCUUACCAAGGCAACGAUGCGUAGCCGACCUGAGAGGGUGAUCGGCCACACUGGAACUGAGACACGGUCCAGACUCCUACGGGAGGCAGCAGUAGGGAAUCUGCCGCAAUGGGCGAAAGCCUGACGGAGCAACGCCGCGUGAGUGAUGAAGGUCUUCGGAUCGUAAAACUCUGUUAUUAGGGAAGAACAAAUGUGUAAGUAACUAUGCACGUCUUGACGGUAACUAAUCAGAAAGCCACGGCUAACUACGUG
rnacentral:rRNA from 1 species